AGAGUUUGAUCCUGGCUCAGGAUGAACGCUAGCUACAGGCUUAACACAUGCAAGUCGAGGGGCAUCAGGAAAGAAGCUUGCUUCUUUUGCUGGCGACCGGCGAAUGGGUGAGUAACGCGUAUCCAACCUGCCCCGUGCUCAUGGAUAGCCCUUAGAAAUGAGGAUUAAUACAUGAUGGUGUGCGCCGGCCGCAUGGCUGUUGCACUAAAGGAAUCCGGCACGGGAUGGGGAUGCGUUCCAUUAGGCAGUUGGCGGGGUAACGGCCCACCAAACCGACGAUGGAUAGGGGUUCUGAGAGGAAGGUCCCCCACAUUGGUACUGAGACACGGACCAAACUCCUACGGGAGGCAGCAGUGAGGAAUAUUGGUCAAUGGGCGCGAGCCUGAACCAGCCAAGUAGCGUGAAGGAAGACGGCCCUACGGGUUGUAAACUUCUUUUUCCGGGGAAUAAAGUGUCCCACGCGUGGGAUUUUGCAUGUACCCGGUGAAUAAGGACCGGCUAAUUCCGUGCCAGCAGCCGCGGUAAUACGGAAGGUCCGAGCGUUAUCCGGAUUUAUUGGGUUUAAAGGGAGCGUAGGUGGGGACGUAAGUCAGCCGUCAAAUUUCGGGGCUCAACCCCGUCCAGCGGUUGAAACUGCGUUUCUUGAGUGCACAAGAGGCAGNUGGAAUUCGUGGNGUAGCGGUGAAAUGCUUAGAUAUCACGAAGAANUCCGAUUGCGAAGGCAGCCUGCUGGGGUGCAACUGACACUGAUGCUCGAAGGUGCGGGAAUCAAACAGGAUUAGAUACCCUGGUAGUCCGCACAGUAAACGAUGGAUGCUCGCGAUGCGGUAUUUAUACUACGUCGCCCAGCGAAAGCGUUAAGCAUCCCACCUGGGGAGUACGCCGGCAACGGUGAAACUCAAAGGAAUUGACGGGGGCCCGCACAAGCGGAGGAACAUGUGGUUUAAUUCGAUGAUACGCGAGGAACCUUACCCGGGCUUGAAAUGUACCUGACCGCCGGCAGAGACGCCGGCAUUCUUCGGACAGGUAUGUAGGUGCUGCAUGGUUGUCGUCAGCUCGUGCCGUGAGGUGUCGGCUUAAGUGCCAUAACGAGCGCAACCCUUAUCGCUGGUUACCAUCGGGUGAAGCCGGGGACUCCAGCGGCACUGCCAUCGCAAGAUGAGAGGAAGGCGGGGAUGACGUCGAAUCAGCACGGCCCUUACGUCCGGGGCUACACACGUGUUACAAUGGGGGGCACAGCAAGCAGGUGCGCGGCGACGCGCAUCGAAUCCUCAAAUCCCCUCCCAGUUCGGAUCGGAGUCUGCAACCCGACUCCGUGAAGCUGGAUUCGCUAGUAAUCGCGCAUCAGCCAUGGCGCGGUGAAUACGUUCCCGGGCCUUGUACACACCGCCCGUCAAGCCAUGAAAGUCGGGGGUGCCUGAAGUCCGCAGCCGUAAGGCGCGGCCUAGGGCAAUACCGGUGAUUGGGGCUAAGUCGUAACAAGGUAGCCGUACC
rnacentral:rRNA from 1 species